rnacentral:rRNA from 1 species
GACGAACCGUGCGAACGUUGUUCGGAUUCACUGGGCUUAAAGGGCGCGUAGGCGGCUUGCCAAGUCGGGGGUGAAAUCUUUCGGCCUAACCGGAAAAGGGCCCCCGAUACUGGCAGGCUUGAGGGAGAUAGGGGCACGCGGAACUUCCGGUGGAGCGGUGAAAUGCGUAGAUAUCGGAAGGAACGCCGGUGGCGAAAGCGGCGUGCUGGGACGGUACUGACGCUGAGGCGCGAAAGCGUGGGGAGCGAACAGG